rnacentral:rRNA from 1 species
GACGAACCGAGCGAACGUCGUUCGGAAUCACUGGGCUUAAAGGGCGCGUAGGCGGGUGCUCAAGUCUGUGGUGAAAUCCUCCGGCUCAACCGGAGAACUGCCAUGGAUACUGGGCGUCUCGAGUGUGGUAGGGGUAUGCGGAACUAUCGGUGGAGCGGUGAAAUGCGUAGAUAUCGUAAGGAAGACCAGUGGCGAAGGCGGGUCUCUGGACAGUUCCUGACGCUGAGGCACGAAGGCCAGGGGAGCAAACGGG